rnacentral:sRNA from 1 species
AGACUUUAAGACACGCCCCGGCAUGAGCAGGGAGGGCUGCGAAGCAGACCGGGAGUGCGAAUGUCGGGGAGCAUGCUGAGAGCGACGCAGACGCGAAAGCAUGCGUGGAAUCA